rnacentral:rRNA from 1 species
AAACAAAAACAAUACGACUCUUAGCGGUGGAUCACUCGGCUCGUGCGUCGAUGAAGAACGCAGCUAGCUGCGAGAACUAAUGUGAAUUGCAGGACACAUUGAUCAUCGACACUUCGAACGCACCUUGC